rnacentral:rRNA from 1 species
GACGAACGCUGGCGGCGUGCUUAACACAUGCAAGUCGAACGGUGACGGUGGAGCUUGCUCCGCCUGAUCAGUGGCGAACGGGUGAGUAACACGUGGGCAACCUGCCCCAGACUUCGGGAUAACUCCUCGAAAGAGGCGCUAAUACCGGAUACGAACUCCUUGGGCAUCCUUGGAGUUGGAAAGUUUUUCGGUCUGGGAUGGGCCCGCGGCCUAUCAGCUUGUUGGUGAGGUAACGGCUCACCAAGGCGACGAAGGGUAGCCGGCCUGAGAGGGCGACCGGCCACACUGGGACUGAGACACGGCCCAGACUCCUACGGGAGGCAGCAGUGGGGAAUAUUGCGCAAUGGGCGAAAGCCUGACGCAGCAAUGCCGCGUGAGGGAUGACGGCCUUCGGGUUGUAAACCUCUUUCAGCAGGGAAGAAGCGAAAGUGACGGUACCUGCAGAAGAAGCACCGGCUAACUACGUGCCAGCAGCCGCAGUAA